rnacentral:rRNA from 1 species
AGCACGUUAUGGUGGGCGACUCUAAGGAGGACUGCCGGUGGACAACCGGAGGAAGGUGGGGAUGACGUCAAGUCAUCAUGGCCCUUACGGCCUGGGCUACACACGUGCUACAAUGGUCGGUACAAAGGGUUGCCAAGCCGCGAGGUGGAGCUAAUCCCAUAAAACCGAUCGUAGUCCGGAUCGCAGUCUGCAACUCGACUGCGUGAAGUCGGAAUCGCUAGUAAUCGCGAAUCAGAAUGUCACGGUGAAUACGUUCCCGGGCCUU